UGUUAAGAUCGCUUCUCCAGAAACUAACAAAGUCCCACCUGAUGGCUUGGUCUCUAUUAUAUUUGGGGAAGAUGGAGUAUCUACUUCAUAGUAUUUACUUUCUGUUUUCUUAUCAUCAGAUAAAUCUUGGCCUCGGACAGAAGGAUUUGGUUCUUCCAAUUGAUCCGAAGAAGUGAAUUCAGAAACUGUGGUUCUUUCCAUUUUCUUAUUAUCAGUCUCCUCAUGUUCACGGCCGG
rnacentral:misc_RNA from 1 species